GAUCAGGUAGGGAUACCCGCUGAACUUAAG
rnacentral:rRNA from 1 species